CAAACUCCCAUUCCCUUUCUUCUUCCCCAUUUUCUUUCUCUUCUCCAUUCUUUCCUAAUAAAACCUUAAACUCCAUUAAAACCUUUUUUCAUGUUGCUACCACCAAAUGAUGUCGUUCACCUCUCUUUCUCAUCCCUAAUCGUCACCGCACCUUCACCCAUAAGAACAACCGCUUCUUCAAGUCCAAAAACUACCAUCCCCCAUCCUCAAAAAACCAAACCACCACACCACCAAACUUAAAAUGUUGUUACGCCGCUUCAAAACACCAAACAUCGGCACUUUUCAAACACCAAGAAUCGAUGAUCCCCAAAAUCCUAAACUAUCGUCGUGCCUAGCACAACCACCGUGCGUUGCCACCACUCCUAAUCCAAACAUCGGCACCGCUAUAGCCAUGGUCGAACAAGAAAUUAAGUAGUCGAUAGUUUCUCGACUUCUCUUAAUCGAGGUCGCAACUGAAUGUCAGCCCGCCCGUCACGGAUAUUGAUGACAAAGAUUCAGAAGUGUUUCUACUGCCACCGACACAAGCUGUUGGCCUGAGUCGACACCACCGUCGAAGAAGCUUAACACCAGAGGAGGAUGUUCAAACGGAACUAGCACCUUCGAUUACCAUGAUGUAAACUCCUCUACGUCGAAAGAGAGCAGCCACCGUACGUGCUCGACAACAACCGUCACACCAAGUGAACAACCAAUAUCAACUCUAGAUAGCAGUACUGAAGUUGCUAGUAUAUCGAGUUCGCCAAAUAUUCCGCUUGAAGAAAAGUAUCAACCACCUAAAGAUAAUAGACGCGACCAGCGAUGACAUACCUACACGAUGCCACUGGAGGCGAGACUUUGGGGAUUUCUGAAUUUUACAUCCUGGAACACCACACGAGAUACAACGAAACUCGACAUCGCCCAAUCCUAGUUUUAUAUGAAUUGCUCGCAACAACAGAGUUUUUCAUCGACGACACAAAAUCAACUGCUAGGGAGCAAGAGGAGCAGUCUCGUUCUGCUGUGGAGGAAAGACUAAACCGUAUUAAGUCUCACUUAGACACAAUUGGGGCUAAAAUCUCAAAUAUCUUUAUAUUGAAAAGUGACUACAUCCACCACCCUCCGCCAAAUUAAGAUGGGGAGUACACUUAACCCUUCUCUUUAUUAUUCUUUUAAAAUUGCACGUUGAGGACAAUAUAGGCUAAGUAGAGGGGAUUCGUAGGUCAUGUUAUAACUUCUUCUUUAUUGUAUGUGUUAAUAAUUAUACUGAGAUUAUUCUUUAAUUUGUUUUGAAAUUGAACCUUCAAUUCUUACGCUUA